rnacentral:rRNA from 1 species
CCUACGGGAGGCAGUAGUGAGGAAUAUUGGUCAAUGGGAGAGAUCCUGAACCAGCCAAGCCGCGUGAGGGAAGACGGCCCUAUGGGUUGUAAACCUCUUUUGUCGGAGAACAAAACCCGGGACGUGUCCCGGACUGCGUGUAUCCGAAGAAAAAGCAUCGGCUAACUCCGUGCCAGCAGCCGCGGUAAUACGGAGGAUGCGAGCGUUAUCCGGAUUUAUUGGGUUUAAAGGGUGCGUAGGCGGUCAGUUAAGUCAGCGGGAAAAUUGCGGGGCUCAACCCCGUCGAGCCGUUGAAACUGGCAGACUUGAGUUGGCGAGAAGUACGCGGAAUGCGCGGUGUAGCGGUGAAAUGCAUAGAUAUCGCGCAGAACUCCGAUUGCGAAGGCAGCGUACCGGCGCCAGACUGACGCUGAGGCACGAAAGCGUGGGGAUCGAACAGGAUUAGAUACCCUAGUAGUC